AGAUAUCAGUAAUCCAUCUAUAUAUCAAGCUAUUAAAUAAUAUAAUAAAUAAAUACUUAAGAAUAUAUUUAACUAUUUAUUUAUAUAAUAAAUAAAAAAAAGAGAUCAUAUUUUUUUUUGGUUUAAAGAUGAGUGGCAAUAUUUUGAAACCAACAAAAUAGAGAUAAAAAUGGAUCAGUUGAGACCGUGCCACGGAUCCAAAGAAUCAUAGGAAUGA
rnacentral:lncRNA from 1 species